GAUGAACGCUGGCGGCGUGCUUAACACAUGCCAGUCGAACGGUGAUGCUCCAGCUUGCUGGAGUGGAUCAGUGGCGAACGGGUGAGUAACACGUGAGCAACCUGCCCCAGACUCUGGAAUAAGCGCUGGAAACGGCGUCUAAUACUGGAUACGAAACUGGCCCGCAUGGGCAUGGUUUGGAAAGUUUUUCGGUUUGGGAUGGGCUCGCGGCCUAUCAGCUUGUUGGUGAGGUAAUGGCUCACCAAGGCGACGACGGGUAGCCGGCCUGAGAGGGCGACCGGCCACACUGGGACUGAGACACGGCCCAGACUCCUACGGGAGGCAGCAGUGGGGAAUAUUGCACAAUGGGCGAAAGCCUGAUGCAGCGACGCCGCGUGAGGGAUGACGGCCUUCGGGUUGUAAACCUCUUUCAGCAGGGAAGAAGCGAAAGUGACGGUACCUGCAGAAGAAGCACCGGCUAACUACGUG
rnacentral:rRNA from 1 species